rnacentral:rRNA from 1 species
GAUAAACGCUGGCGGCGUGCCUAACACAUGCAAGUCGAACGUCCUGUGGUCGCAAGGCCGCAGGGAGUGGCGGACGGGUGAGUAAGACGUGGGAACCGAUCCUCUAGUGAGGAAUACCACCGGGAAACCGGUGACAAGACCGCAUAGGCUCUCGCAAGAGAGCAAAGCUCUUUUUCGGAAGGGCGCUGGAGGAGGGGCCUGCGGCCGAUUAGCUAGCUGGUGGGGUAAAGGCCUACCAGGGCGACGAUCGGUAGCUGGUCUGAGAGGACGAGCAGCC